rnacentral:rRNA from 1 species
AACGCGUGGGUGAUCUACCUCCGAGUGGGGAAUAACCCCGGGAAACUGGGGCUAAUACCGCAUAACAUUCUCGGGCCUUCGGGCCUGGGAAUCAAAGCUGGGGACCGCGAGGCCUAGCGCCUGGAGAGGAGCCCGCGUCCGAUUAGCUAGUUGGUGGGGUAAUGGCCCACCAAGGCUACGAUCGGUAGCCGGCCUGAGAGGGCGGACGGCCACACUGGGACUGAGACACGGCCCAGACUCCUACGGGAGGCAGCAGUGGGGAAUUUUUCGCAAUGGGCGAAAGCCUGACGAAGCAACGCCGCGUGGAGGAUGAAGGCCUUCGGGUCGUAAACUCCUGUCGACCGGGACGAAAGUCGUCCGACCUAAUACGUCGGGCGAUUGACUGUACCGGUGGAGGAAGCCACGGCUAACUCUGUGCCAGCAGCCGCGGUAAUACAGAGGUGGCAAGCGUUGUUCGGAAUUACUGGGCGUAAAGGGCGCGUAGGCGGUCUCAUAAGUCCCGCGUGAAAUCCCCCGGCUCAACCGGGGAACUGCGCGGGAAACUGCGAGGCUUGAGUUCGGGAGAGGGAAGCGGAAUUCCGGGUGUAGCGGUGAAAUGCGUAGAUAUCCGGAGG